rnacentral:rRNA from 1 species
UAGGGAAUCUUCGGCAAUGGGGGGAACCCUGACCGAGCAACGCCGCGUGAGUGAAGAAGGUUUUCGGAUCGUAAAGCUCUGUUGUUAAGGAAGAACGAGUGUGAGAAUGGAAAGUUCAUGCUGUGACGGUACUUAACCAGAAAGCCACGGCUAACUACGUGCCAGCAGCCGCGGUAAUACGUAGGUGGCAAGCGUUGUCCGGAAUUAUUGGGCGUAAAGCGCGCGCAGGUGGUUUAGAAAGUCUGAUGUGAAAGCCCACGGCUCAACCGUGGAGGGUCAUUGGAAACUAAUAAACUUGAGUGCAGGAGAGAAAAGUGGAAUUCCUAGUGUAGCGGUGAAAUGCGUAGAGAUUAGGAGGAACACCGGUGGCGAAAGCGGCUUUUUGGCUUGCAACUGACACUGAGGCGCGAAAGCGUGGGGAGCAAACAGG